rnacentral:rRNA from 1 species
UACGUAGGGGGCAAGCGUUAUCCGGAAUUACUGGGUGUAAAGGGAGCGUAGACGGUAAUGUAAGUCUGGAGUGAAAGGCGGGGGCCCAACCCCCGGACUGCUCUGGAAACUAUGUUACUAGAGUGCAGGAGAGGUAAGCGGAAUUCCUAGUGUAGCGGUGAAAUGCGUAGAUAUUAGGAGGAACACCAGUGGCGAAAGCGGCUCUCUGGUCUGUAACUGACGCUGAGGUUCGAAAGCGUGGGUAGCAAACAGG